rnacentral:rRNA from 1 species
AAGUUGUGUAGUGCGAUCGGUGGAUGCCUUGGCACCAAGAGCCGAUGAAGGACGUUGUGACCUGCGAUAAGCCCUGGGGAGUUGGUGAGCGAGCUGUGAUCCGGGGGUGUCCGAAUGGGGAAACCUGGAAUGUCCGGAGUAGUGUCCGGUGGCCCUGCCCUGAAUGUAUAGGGGUGUGGGUGGUAACGCGGGGAAGUGAAACAUCUUAGUACCCGUAGGAAGAGAAAACAAGUGUGAUUCCGUGAGUAGUGGCGAGCGAAAGCGGAGGAGGCUAAACCGUGUGUGUGUUCAAGCCGGCAGGUGUUGCAUGUGCGGGGUUGUGGGGGCCUUGUGGUUCUGCUGCCGCAGGAUUGGCCAGUGAGAAAUGUUGCGUGAAGGUGAAGCGUCUGGGAAGGCGUACCGGAGUGGGUGAGAGUCCUGUAACUGUAAGCGUGGCACUGGUGUGGGGUUGCCCCGAGUAGCGUGGGACUCGUGGAAUUUCGCGUGAAUCUGGCGGGACCACCCGUCAAGCCUAAAUACUCCUUGGUGACCGAUAGUGGAUGAGUACCGUGAGGGAAGGGUGAAAAGUACCCCGGGAGGGGAGUGAAAGAGUUCCUGAAACCGGUCGCAUGCAAGCCGUCAGAGCCUGUGUGGUGAUGGCGUGCCUUUUGAAGAAUGAGCCUGCGAGUUAGUGAUGCGUGGCGAGGUUAACCCGUGGUGGGGGAGUCGUAGCGAAAGCGAGUCCGAUAAGGGCGUGAGUCGCGUGUUCUAGACCCGAAGCGGUGUGAUCUAUCCAUGGCCAGGAUGAAGGUGCGGUAACACGCACUGGAGGUCCGAACCGAUUAACGUUGAAAAGUUACCGGAUGAGUUGUGUUUAGGGGUGAAAGGCCAAUCAAGCCGGGAAAUAGCUGGUUCUCCGCGAAAACUAUUGAGGUAGUGCCUCGCACGAACACCUUAGGGGGUAGAGCACUGGAUGGGCUAGGGGGUCGCGAGAUCUAC